rnacentral:rRNA from 1 species
UACGGGGGGGGCAAGCGUUGUUCGGAAUUACUGGGCGUAAAGGGCUCGUAGGUGGCCAACUAAGUCAGACGUGAAAUCCCUCGGCUUAACCGGGGAACUGCGUCUGAUACUGGAUGGCUUGAGUUCGGGAGAGGGAUGCGGAAUUCCAGGUGUAGCGGUGAAAUGCGUAGAGAUCAUGAGGAAGACCAGUGGCGAAGGCGGGUCUCUGGACAGUUCCUGACACUGAGGCACGAAGGCUAGGGGAGCAAACGGG